AAGAGUGGCGAGAGAAUGACUUAAAGUUUUCACCUGCUCUCGAAGUGCUAGACUUUCAUCCUUGGGUUCCUGUAGUGGCCAGAGUGAGAAAUGUGGACCAGAGGAUAACCAGCAUGACGCUGGACAGCUGAGGUGAAAGUGAAGAAGCUGAGAGCCUUAUAGGUUAAACAGAAGAGGAGAUGUCCUCAUGAAACAACAGAAGGUUGCCUCAGUGAAGCAGCAGGUUACACAAAGGAACAAUAGAGGGUUGCCACAGUCAAGCAGCAGACAUACUUUUUCUGAGUCAAAAAUUGCCAGAUUUUCACAGGGUUUCUAUGUGACGUAAGAGCAG